rnacentral:rRNA from 1 species
UACGGAGGAUGCAAGCGUUAUCCGGAAUGAUUGGGCGUAAAGGGUCCGCAGGUGGCAAUGUGUGUCUGCUGUCAAAGAAUGAGGCUUAACCUCAUCAAGGCAGUGGAAACUACAUAGCUAGAGUACGGUCGGGGUAGAAGGAAUUCCUGGUGUAGCGGUGAAAUGCGUAGAGAUCAGGAAGAACACCGGUGGCGAAGGCGGUUAUCUGGACAGAAACUGACGCUGAGGCGCGAAAGCUAGGGGAGCAAACAGG